CUCUUUUACAACAUUUGAUGACACACCCCGUCCCGAAGGAGGGUGUGCUGGCCGUCACGUGAGAGUGACGUAACCAUUUACACAGUUCGGAAGCUCUUAAAAUACAAUUACUAAAUGGAAACCCCCGAGGGUGAGUCCUACUUUUGUGAAUUCUGUCAGAACGCCGUUGGGUUCCUCGUGGCCACCAAAGCUCUGCUAACUUAAACCUGGAGGGGCGAAAAACAAAAUUGAGUGGGUCAGUAAAACCAAAGCUUUUCAAAAACAUUUCGCCAAAAAUAAUUCUAACCCCUCUCCGUAAAACCUGUAUACUUUCCCAGAAAAUAGUAUAUAUAAACAUAUAUAUAAGCAAAUAUCUCAAAUCACUAUCCUUUAACACUUUUCAGAAAAAUAUGUCAUGCCAAGUGUCCAAAAACAUAAUAUAGAUGCAUCAAUAUAAAUCAGGUGAAAAUAAAUCAACCGGAGACCCUGAAGUGGUCCUGUACGGCUGAUUCUAAAGCUCAACAUCCAAUCCAACCGGAGUCACCUCGUGACCUGUACGGUUCAACUCUGCAUGUCACUCGGAACUACAUAUAGUAGUCUGUACGAUGAUAGGUGUAUAAAUACGCUCUAGUGCUUCUCUCAUCAAUCAUCAGCGCGCAUAACUAAGGUCACCCACUAGUCGGAAUCACAUUUAGUGAUCUGUACGACUAGCAUGUCGGAACCCUCACAUCGUCUGUACGACAUCCACCUACUUGGAUCCAAGACGAGCGUGCGGUGUGGUGAAUAACAAUAUAAGCACUAUCACCUAGGUACAGGUCAUGAGCUUUCAAUGCAAUCCAUGAUAAAUAACUCAGCUGAAAAUAAAUAAACUCACCUGAGCGUCCACCGCGUCAUUUCACACACAUAUAUAUAUAUAUAUAUAUAUAUAUAUAUAUAUAUAUAUAUAUCAAUUAUCAAACUAAAUAUCUCAACAGUUUCAUGCAUGGCAAUUAGAUUCAUAAUUUUCACAUAAACGUAUUUUCUGGGAAAAACAGUUGUAUAUAGGUAAAUACGAAAUCAAAACUGCCCACUCACCUGGAGUUCGCCCUACAACUCUCUAGCACAAUACGCCAAGGCGUCAUGAUGAUCGGUGCCUAAAACAAUAAUCAAACCCAACCUCAGAAUUCAUAUCGAGAGAAUAUAUAACUUGUAUAAAAUACGUCACUACGUAGUUCGAUCCGGAAGAUCCGCCACUCAUAUUUUAAAUCCAUAACUUCCAGAGGUCCACAAUAUAUCUCUAGGAUAACAUCCUAAAAUUUCAUUACCAUCCAACGGUCGGAUCUCCGUCAAUUAACAAAACUAAGUGACGGUUAACAUUCUAUAUUAUGGACUUACAACUCUAAUUCCGGAAGAUCCGUAAAUCGGAUUCCCAAUCCGUAAGUUCCUAUAAUCCUCAAAUAUUACGUAUUACAACGUAUCAAAGUUUGGUGAUGAUCCAACGGUUGGAUCAUCAAUUCACAUUUUUACCUAAAUACGAAAACUAUAAAACGUUAUUUAAACACCUAACCAACAAUCCUUAAUAACUUCUCAUACGGUGCUCAAUUUGGGUAUAUGAAUAUACCACAUUGACCUACUCGACGUCACGGACGUCGACAAAUUUUUAAAAUAAUUGUUUACUGUGGCACGCGCCCCCACGCGCCCAGGAAGGCACGGGUCCAUGCGCGCCCACGCGCACCUUCUUCCUCGCGAGUUCGCCGGACUGGUUUUUCCGGUGGCCGGAAAACUGGGGAAUUUUCAAAUGCUUCGUUCUCCUUCGUUUCUCAACCAUUUUCUUCGUAUAAUAUAUCAAUUUAAAGCCCUCAACAUGUAGAAUCCAAGCAACUAAAUCUCACCGGAAAAAUCCAAGCAAAACCGGCCAAACUUAACCCUCGUGAUCCCGACGUCCAAAUCCUUCCAACGAAGCACUCCGAGCUUCCUUGGGACCUCACUAAGCUCACUAUGAGCUUGGAUUGUCCUAAAAAUCAACCAACAAAAAGUUCAUGAAUAGUGCCAAACUCGGACCUCGAGUUUUCAACGUGAAAACGAAGGAUUCCUUGCCUGAAAAUGGUGUCUUUGGGUUCUUAGAGUCUUCACGAGCACAAUGGUGCCCUUGGCACCUUCGAUCCGUGAAGUUUCAGGGUUUUGUGGUGAGGUCCGUACAUUUUGAGAAAGAGAGAGAGAAACUGAGAGAGUAGUGAGGGAGGAGAGAGAGAAGGCACGGGGGAAAGAGGGAGGUCUUGAGCGAGUGUGUGGUCCAACCACAACCAUACAUGCCAAAUUUAAUCCCUACCCACACAAAAUACAAUCCAAAUUUAAUCCAAACUUAUAAAAUUAAUCCAAAUAACGUCACACCCACGUACCUUAAUACCUGCUAAGGGUAAAUCCGUCUUUUCACGUCCUCGAUGAAUAAAAUCCCAGGACGGGCUGUGACAUUUGAUCAAAUCAAAUUACAAUCAAAAUCUAAUCUACACAUGCCCAUGGUUCAAACAAAUUUGAAACGGCCUUUCUGACACACCCCGUCCCGAAGGAGGGCAUGCUGGCCGUCACGUGAGAGUGACGUAACCAUUUGCACAGUACGGAAGCUUUAAGAUACAAUUUAUAAGUUGAUACACCCGAAGGUGAAUCCUAAUUUUGUCCAUUCUGUCAGAACACCGUCGAAUUCCUCUUAGUCACCACACCUUUGUGAUUCCUGAACCUGGAGGGGCGCAAAACCAAAAUUGAGUGGGUCAGUAAAACAAAUCUUUUCAAAUCCAACUUUUCUCAAAACAUUGUAACCCCUCUCCGUAAAACUUGUAAACUUUCCCAGAAAUGUAAAAUAUAAAUAUACAUAUAUAUUCUCAAAACUUCAUUUUUACUAUCUCAACAUUUUUCUUUAUCAAUCAUGCCAUGCCAUGUCUAAUUCAAUAGUUAAGUAUGGAUGCAUCAACAAUAAUCAUAUCAAGUGCAAGAAAGUAAUCAACCGGAGGCCCUCUAAUAGCCCUGUACGGUUGAACCUAGAGCUCAAAAUCUAUCACUCUCACUCUGCCGGAGUCACCUCUGUGACCUGUCCGGCCUUCUGCACAUAAGUCGGAACCACCUAAUGUAGUCUGUACGACUUAAUGGUUAAUAUUACGCUCUAGUGCUUUCUCAUCAAUCAUCUGUGCACAUAAUCUAAGGUCACCCACCAGUCGAAAUCUCACUAACACUCUAUGACUGGCCCGUCGCACCCACUCCGCGUGGACUGUGCGACCAACAUCUACUUGGAUCCAAGGCGAGCGUGCGAUGCGGUGAAUACUAUAAGCACUAAACCAUGGUGCAGGAUUUGAGCUCAAUAUACAUCAACAUCAUCAUAACAGUAAUUAAAUACUCACCUGAUACUCACC
rnacentral:lncRNA from 1 species